rnacentral:lncRNA from 1 species
UCGGGCUGGCCAAUGGGCACUCCAAUGGAGUCGCGCCCGGGACACACCUUCCUGGAGGAUCUUCUUCAGAGGAGGACGCUGCGUUGGGGCCUUCUGCCUCGCGUCACUGACAGUCGCCGGUGGCGGAGGUUGAUGGUGGUGGUGCCGACAGCCACCGCUUGAGAUGGAUGAGGACGAGUCGCUGGGAACCAGAAACAUCCCGUCGCCUCCUUAUCCUCUCGGGCGUGUGUAUGGGCUGGUGGACAUGCAUCAAGCUAGGCCUAGUUUGGCUAGUGGGCACUAGCCCAUGCUGUACGAGC